rnacentral:lncRNA from 1 species
AACAAAAAUCUCACAAACAUAAUAUUGGUGAAAAGAAACCAGAUACAAAGAAUGCAUAAUUCCAUUUAUAUAUCUCCCCAAACCAGACAGAACUAAUCUAUGCGCUUAGAACUCAGGAUAGUGGUUUCCCUUGGAGAGGUAGUUAACUGGAAGGGAAUCUGACGGGGGGCUUCUGGGGUGCCGAUUGUAUGCACGUGCUCCACUUGUGAAAAAUCAUUGAUGUGUUUCUAUAGUUACACUUUAAUAAAAAGUUAAACAAAAUGAUUUGCCUCUGUCUGGAUACUCGACUCAAAACUGAAAAAAAUGUCUCCUUUGCUCUCAGCCUCUCACUUUGGCUACACUCUCAUACUGGCAUUCUCAGCUCCUGCCACUUGCAAAUGGUGAGGGUGGGAAGAGAAUCCCUCUCCCUGCCAUGCAGGCUAAACUAGAUUUGCUACAGGUUGGGCUGCUAAAGAAGGAGGUCUACCAAACUGAAAUUCAAGUCUUAUCUCUGCUUCCUGCCAGUGCACUCAAGUGCUGUCUUGCUCUCUCUAACCCCCUCUUUCAACAAAGCCCCUUACUCAGAAAUAAACACUCCUCUCAGGGAACAUCUAAGUAAGUAUCAACGUUUUGAACCAAAAGAAUGGAGCUCUAAUAGUUAACAUCUCAAGCUGCAGGUGGUGGAUGGGUGAGGAGUCAUCUGGGCUGACACCCGUGGAGGUAUAUAACAAGCACUUGGAGGGCAGGCCCAGCUUGAGGAGGGGGUGUGAAAAUCCUGGCUCUCCUUUGGGCAAGUCUGUAUCCUCUAUGACUCAGUUUCCUCAUCAUUAAAAUGGGAAUAAUGGUGCUGAGAUGUUAUAACAAUCAAAAUGAGUUACCACAGGUGAAGAAUUUAGCAAAGUGACUGACUUAGGUAGGAGGCUAAUAAACAUUAGCUGUCAGCUCAGCUUUGUCCAAGGUAUGUUGCCCCCAAAAAAGCACAACCCAGGAGAAGUCCAGGGAGCAGGGGACUUUAGGGCUUGCUCAAGUCUCCACAGCCAAACUGGAGAGUACCCUUGGAUGUCCUGUGCUUCCUCAAUAUCGUGGUGAGGCGCAGGCACUAAGGAGUGGGGUGACUUUAGGCCUACAUGGGAGCAGAGGACAAACUGAGCAGCACAAGAGGGAGGGAAGAACUGACAGUGCCCUGGGAUCCAGUCCUGUAUGCAUCUGCUAAAUAUCAUUACACAAGUAUAGUAGCCUUUGCACUGGUUGCCUUCAAAGAAUUAGGAAUGUCGUUCUGUCAGAGGGCGGGGAAUGAAAACACUUGUCAAGUGUGCAGUGUUUGAUAUAGCAGCAACUAGGGAGGUUCUAACAUCACACACUUGUACUUCCUAUUUGACCAACAGGCCAUCAAGUACCACAGGCAUUUUGGUACAACUUCUAUUAUUGGGGCCUGGUCCCUGGAUUUGGCCUCUAUUUUGCAGACCCUAGAGACCCUCUGUGGUGACUGGCUCGAGAUAACCCAAAUGCACAAGGCCUGAGGUAGACAACAGAAAGUCAGUUUUUCAACAAAAAACAAUGUUUGGUAGCUAGAAUAUUCACACUGGCAUUUUCACCCUGCAGGCAGACCUAUACAAGUAGCCAAACCUUCAUUACAAAGAUACUUGAAGAGUACUUGAAUACAAAUCAAAAUGACAUAAUGGCACUAAGCUAAAAAACAGGCUGAAAAAGAAAUUCCCAAAUAGAGUUAACAAAACUGGAUACCUGGCCAUCUCAUGGCUGAGCAAGCUUUGUCUUCUUUUCUAUGAUGCUGACCAAUAUACUCCCAACUCUGCUCUGAUCCUCUAUUAACAUGUGAAGGCAGAGAGCGGUCAUGCUCCCUCAAUUUCCAAGUGUGGAUGGGGGAGCAGGCUGGGAAACUCACUGUGCUGGCAAUCUACCUUUCAGUCAUUUCAAGAUUGCAUUAACAUAAGUGAGAGUCUCCACCCAAUGUUUUCUCCAGCUGAAGGCCAAUUUCUUUGGAGAGUCACCCUGGACCCAGAGAACCUGGCUGGGUACUGAAGGCACAGCAGGGCCAAGCCUGAUGGUGCAGUGACUCUGCAGAGUCACUCUCACAGAAUUGCAAUACUUUCCGCAGGUUAGAACACGGCUCCCACAGAAGUGGUUAAAAACUGCCAGCUCCUCUCCCUGAACACAAGCCACUAGUGCUUUCUCAAGUAUAUUCUAGGCCCAAAGAAUUCAACAUCAGCAUUCUUGGUUAAAUCACAAUCCAGCUAUGUUCCUAGAUCAAUCAUCACAAUCCCCAGUUCCAUCAUUCCCACCAAGAGCUGGUUAGGUCUUCAUUUCUAAUUCCAUUCUCAGAGGAUAAACUGCAUGGCAGGUCUGGGAGUGCCCCACUUCACUGAGCUUGCAGCAACAGGUGCUCUUCCUGGCCCGACAGUGGAAAGCCAUGCCCCCCUCAUAAUAGUUACCAACUUCACGUAAAUCAAUAAUGUUUAUCAAAUGGAUUGUCCUUAAUGACCACUUGUGCCUCAACAUCACCAACAACCAUGUAAGGGGAUUCCUACAGUAACAAUGAGGCUCUGCAACCUGACUUCCUCAACACCCACUGCUGAAGAACCACAGGCCUUCACAGAUUUGCUGUGCUUCUGGCUUCUCUUCUGAACACAGGAACUUCACUUCAGAAUAUCUUUGCACCACAUUUGUCCCCUAUCAUGCACACCUCUAACACAUCCUGCUCAUGGAUGUUUCAUUGAAUGUUCUAGUAUUAUUAUGCCUUCACUGUCACAUCAGAGUGGCC